UUUAAACAAUUAAAUUUGAUAUGGUUUUAGAAGUUUUUAUUUUAUCAUUAUAACUUAGUUUAACUUCACAAAUUGUUUUUAUCUAUAGGGACGUGACUUUUUUCUUUAUAAAAAAAAAUUAUGUUGUAAUGAAAUGGCUAGUAUCUUGGCUACUUGAGCUAGCUAACUAUGUUGAACUUGAAGUUUAAGUUGAAACAAAGUACAGAAGAAGAGUAAGACGGAUAAAGAUUCUUUUAGGAAUAAUUUCUGGAGUGCGCUAAAUUAGAACCAAACUAGAGGAAUCCAAUUAAGAAAGUUCUACUCAAUUAUAGGAUUAACUUAAAAACUUUUAGAAUCAUGAUUGAUGCUAACAAAACUCGAACUUACUAAAUUAAAAUGUUUUAAAUUUGCAGUAUAUUUUGUUUAGUAUCCAAUUUAAGGACCGCAGAUUUAAACUUCUAAUCUCUUAGACGAGAGUACGAAAGUGUAGGUCGUUGAGCUUUGCCCUAUAUAUAUAUGUGUGUGUUUAUAUGAAACUAAGUCCAAAGUAUAUAAGACUAAGGGGCUGUUUGGGUCCAAGAGUGGACUGGUAACCCAUUCCAUGUUUGAGGCUCCAACUAUUUUUAGUUGAAGCUUCAAAAUUAUAUUGAAAGUCAACUCUAGUGAACACUGUUUCCAACCCCAUGAACUGUACCUCCACUAUUUGCAACAUCUCCCUUCUCCUUCGUCUCUUCCAUCUCCUUUCUUCUCUGAAAGAAAUACUCAGAUUCAAGAUGUUUUUCCUUCUCUAUUUACUUCUCUGUUCAUUCCACCCCUACUAUAACUUUUUUGUUUUAUCUUCUUCGUUGAUUUCACUCCUCAUAUGUGGUUUUCGUCUCUUUCAAGCUUGUCAGUGCCGUCUUCAGAUCUAGUUUCACAUCUCUUCAUCUCUAUCGGUUCUAUCAUCGUCGAAACCAGAUCUGGAUCCGUAGUCCUUAAAUUUAUUUCGUCUAACCCUUCAUAGAUCUGUAGAUCUACGUUUAUGGUGGUACCCAUCUUACAUGUUUUUCUCUAAACCCUUCACAAAUCUGGAUUCACGUCUCAUUCAUCUUUGUUGAUUGGGGUUUUAUCCGACUUCCUCCCUCUCGUUUCCAUUCUAAAUGUGUUCGUUCAUUCUUCCCCUUGCUGUUCCAAACCUUUGAUUCCCUUUGCUGCAUUAUUCAAUUUUCUCACUCUGUCAUUUCAGUCUAAAUUGUUUGGUUGAAGGACGAUUGUGGUUAGUGGGGCAUGGAGGUUACUGUUUGGAGAGUAUUAGGGGGUGAAGGACAAGUUGUGGAGCUGGGGGGGGGGCUAUAGGUAUUUGAUGGAUUUCUCACUUCAGGGUUUCUCUGUUUGAUUAGAUAAUUUUCAUUCUACUGAUGAAAAAAGAUGGAUUUUCUCUGUGCAAUGUCCAUUGUUUUGUCUAUUUUGGUCCCUAUUUGUCUAUAGUUUGUCAUUUUUGGUCUCUGUUUGUCCAUUGUUUGGCCAUUUCCAUAAAUUUUGGUGUCUGUUUGUCCAUUGUUUGUUCAUUUCAGUCUCUGUCUAUCUAUUGCUUGUCCAUUUAAUAACUUUUGGCCUUAGUUUGUCCCUGUUUAUUGUACAUUGAUUGACAGUGGUUGUUAGGUACUGUUUAUUGUAUUCAUCAUUGUCAUAUCUUUUGUUUUUAGAGUGAUUUAUUGUAUAUUGAUUGACAGUGGUUGUUAGGUAUUGUUCAUUGUAUCCGUCAUUGCAUAUCCCCUAUUUUUAGGAUGGUCUAUGGUAUAUUGAUUGACAGUGAUUGUUAGUUACUGUUUAUUGGGUAGAUUUUUGUCAAAAUCAUUGACUUUUAUUUAUAUGUGGGUCCCACUUAAAAAAUCGGUGAGCCAAUAGUUCACACAACUAUUAUAUAUGGUUUAACUUCACUCUAACUUUAGACCAAACUCAUUCAAUCUACUUGCUUAAUGCAAUUGUUAUGUCAUCUCUUUUGUCUCCACUGUUCUUAUCAUGUGCUUCAUUUCAUAUUACCAUGAACUUCUAUACAUCUUUUGGUUUCUAUUGUCUUUGUUGUUUGUUUUUGAUUUUCAAUUCUUUUAACUUGAAUGGAAUGAUUUACCAUUGUUUGUCUCUGGUUUAAAAUCAAUUGUUGGUCAUUCCAUCUACAUUGUUGAUUUCUUUUUUACCAUUAUUCAUAAUAUUAUCUAAAAUUCAAGUUUCAAUGAAUGAAUUUCAUAAUUCUAAGGUUGGACUCUAUUCCGUUCAUUUUUUCUUUGACUUUAUAAUUAUGGUCUCACUUGCCUUCAACUAUAAGGACAAACACAUUCCAUCUACAUCAUAAAUGUAAUUGGUAUGUCUUUUCCCUCUUUCUCCAACAUUUUGUUAUCACAGGUGUUGACUAGUGUCUUCCUAUUGUAACUUGUUUAGUAUAAUACUGAUAUUCUUUAUUGUAACUUGUUUUAGGGUUGGUCUUGUUAUGAGUCUGCCGCAUCAAACACUGUUUACCAACUAUAUCUUGCUAAGGGUGGACUAUUAGCAUACUCGAGCAUUGCUUAAGGUUCGUUAACAUGAAUUUGUAGCUGUUGGACGUAUUCUCAUAUAUUCCUGUUUAUAGUUGUUUGUAUGAUUAAAAUAGUCAUAUAUGUUUGUUUCAUAUUUGUAGUUGUUUGGAUGAAUUUUAUCUCACAUAAAAAAUUUGUUAUGUUUGGAUGAAUAACAUGAAUUUGUAGUUGGAUGAAUA